rnacentral:rRNA from 1 species
UACGUAGGGCGCAAGCGUUGUCCGGAAUUAUUGGGCGUAAAGAGCUCGUAGGCGGUUUGUCGCGUCUGCCGUGAAAACCCAGGGCUUAACCCUGGGCUUGCAGUGGAUACGGGCAGACUAGAGGCAGGUAGGGGAGAAUGGAAUUCCCGGUGUAGCGGUGAAAUGCGCAGAUAUCGGGAGGAACACCGGUGGCGAAGGCGGCUACCUGGACAGAGUCUGACGCUGAGGCACGAAAGCGUGGGGAGCAAACAGG